rnacentral:lncRNA from 1 species
ACUAGCUGACCUGGAACUUGCUCUAUAGACCAGGUGGCCAGGAACUCAGAGAUCUAGUCGCCUCUGCCUCAAGAGAGUUGGGAUUAAAGAAGUGUACCAUCACCAUAUGUGAUGUUGGUAAUGAACAACAACAAAAUAGCUGUGACAUGUUUGUGUGUCAAACUGAGAAGGGGUUAGUUGUGCUGGGUAGUUUUCUGUCAACUUGAUAUAGGCUAAAGUCAUCAGAGAGGCAGGAACUUCAAUUAAGAAAAGGCCUCCGUAAGAUCAGGCUGCGGACCAGACUGUAGAGCAUUUUCUUAGUUGAGAGGAAUGGGGAAGAGCCAGCCCAUUGUGGUGGGCUCUAAGAAAGCAGGCUGAGCAAGCCAAUAAGCAGCACUCCUCCAUGGCAUCUGUCAGCUCCUGCCUCCAGGUUUCUACCCCGUUUAAGUUCCUGUCCUGACUUACUUCAGUGGUCCUGGUGUAACCCUAGCUAAGACAGGUGAAUUUGUCAGGUCAUUUUGUCACAACAGCAACAACAACAGCAGCAAGAAAAUAGUUAGUAAAACCCCAAAACAAAUGGCAUUGUUAAUGGAGAGUUAAUUCUCACAGUGAGGAUGUCUGGGCUGAUCUUGCUCCCCUGUUGGAAGACUUAGAUGUGGAGUUGUACUUGGCAUGUGGAAAGAGUGCACAAUGAAACCAUGCUGCUUUAAAUGUCAGUAGCACCCAGAGAGGUGCGAUGCUCACACUCUCAGAGCUACAUGGUCACCAAGAGCAUGAGGGAGGACAGAAUUACCCAUCCCGUGGGAUUCUCCCUGUCUCACCCCUUGUACAUUUGCUCUGAACCUCAUAGGAGUCUGCUCUGUUUGAACCUGGGGGAAUUAAGUGCUUACAAGCUGUCUCACUGCGCUCCGCUCCCUAAGCAGACGAGGCUUUUAGAGAGCAGCUCCCUUGUGAUUUGUGGAUCGCUCUGUGGUAAUUUAAUUGGAGGCUUUCAGGAUUUCUUACAAAAGUUCUUAAAAUAUUUAUGUUCAUUAGUGAAAACAGAUAAACUGAUAUAACUAAAAUUUAGUUCUAACAAAUAUGAAUCACUAUAUUCAUUGAUUUGCAACUCACAUGUGUCAUAUAUUUGGUUUUUUGAGGCAGGAUUUCCUUGUUCCAACUAUGUAGCCCAGGGUGGCCCUGAAUUUAUGGUCCCCUGUCUCGGUCUCAUGUGUGCUGAGAUUCUCGGUGUGUCCCCAGCCAGCUAUGCCAUGUUUUUUAAAUUUCAUACAUUUUAUUGCUUGAUGAUGAAAUAGCUCAGGUAGCUUUUAAAAUUGUUUGAUCUGGGUUGAAGGUUAAAAUACUUACCCAAGCUCAGAAUCGUGAUAUCUUUUCAUUUUAUAUUAUUUAUGGAAAUUGUAUAUGGCAUUAUAUAUACUUGUGGGUUCUUUGAAGCUAGCCAAUUUGAUUCUAUUAUUAUCUCUGUUUUUUUAAAAAAAAUACACCAAUUUUGUAUGUGUGUGUGUGUGUACGUGCACACGUGCACUUGUGACCAAAGGACAGUUGGGGCAGUUGUCUACAGUUGUCUCUUCUUUUGCCAUCCAGGUCCUGGGAUGAACUCACUCAUCAGGGUUGGCAUUGCAGAGCCAUGUCACUGUCUUAAUUGAUCUUAAUGAUAUGAAAAGGAUGCAGAAAAACAGGUUUCCUUCAGGCAUUUUGGCAUCUUUUGCUGGACUUUCAGUUUUUCAGGUCCUAUGAAAGUCUUUGAGAUCUUUCUGGGGGAAAAGGCCCUGUAACCGCACGCAUUUUAACUUCAUUAAAGGAUUUCUAUAAAGGCUUUGUAAAACUUUACAUUGUUCUUGAGUGGGUUCAGAUUUGUGUGUUAGAAAAUGCUACCACAAACAAAUCCCUCAGGAUAGGGUGGAGCUUAUAGUGAAAUUCCUAAUAUAAUUACCAAACUUUUUAUUUGAGCAACUGGCCAUGAAAUUGGUUUAUUGGAGCAUCAGCA